GUGUCAGCAGCCGCGGUAAGACGUAGGAGGCAAGCGUUAUCCGGAGUUACUGGGCGUAAAGCGCGUGUAGGCGGAUUGGUAAGUGGUUCGUGAAAUAUCCGGGCUAAACUCGGAGGGGACGAAUCAGACUGCUAGUCUGGAGGCGGGUAGAGGGGUGCGGAAUUCCGGGUGUAGCGGUGAAAUGUGUAGAUAUCCGGAGGAACACCAGAGGUGCAGACGGCGCCCUGGGCCCGACCUGACGCUGAGACGCGAAAGCUUGGGGAGCGAACGGGAUUAGAUACCCGAGUAGUCC
rnacentral:rRNA from 1 species